UCUAAAGUCCAAACGAUCUACGAAAAUGGAAAGACGGAGGAAAUUAUACAGAUUUACGAGAUACCACGCGUACCACUGUUACCAGAGACUUUCUAGUCCACUGGUGCCGGUCAAGGAUGCCCCCUAGAUAAAUGAAGAAAUGCAUUCCAGAGCAUGGCCCACCUGUGUACACUGUUCUUAUUGUACCAUGGAACUGGCACUCAGUGGAACUGGUUAUUCAAUAAAGCCUUGCUUUGCACAUCAA